rnacentral:lncRNA from 1 species
GCGGCCCCACCUCCGGCGGUCGGGGCGCUCAGUGAGAAAUGACAGGUGAAGUGGACCAAUGUGAAACCAAACAAUUGUAUUUGGAACUACGUGUAUCAAGGUCUGGAGAAGUGAACUGACAUAAGAGACACCACAGGUUUAUGUGAUCUCAUCGAGAGGACUGCAGUCUCCCUUCAUUGCAAAGUUUCAAAACCACUUCUCCUUUCUCCCUACCUUAACUUUGGAAAAUUUCUUACAUUAAAAAAAAUCCCAAUAUGGU